AUCCAGCUAGCUAGUCCCAAAUAGGACGAAAGGUACGUCCUGGAU
rfam:Schistosoma rodhaini strain Burundi genome assembly, scaffold: SROB_scaffold0000810